rnacentral:rRNA from 1 species
UUGAACGCUGGCGGCAUGCCUUACACAUGCAAGUCGAACGGUAACGGGCCUUCGGGUGCCGACGAGUGGCGAACGGGUGAGUAAUACAUCGGAACGUGCCCGAUCGUGGGGGAUAACUAGGCGAAAGCUUUUCUAAUACCGCAUACGAUCUACGGAUGAAAGCAGGGGACCGCAAGGCCUUGCGCGGACGGAGCGGCCGAUGGCAGAUUAGGUAGUUGGUGGGAUAAAAGCUUACCAAGCCGACGAUCUGUAGCUGGUCUGAGAGGAUGAUCAGCCACACUGGGACUGAGACACGGCCCAGACUCCUAAGGGGGGCAGCAGUGGGGAAUGUUGGACAAUGGGCGCAAGCCUGAUCCAGCCAUGCCGCGUGAAGGAUGAAGGCCUUCGGGUUGUAAACUGCUUUUGUACGGAACGAAAAGCCUUCUUUUAAUACAGGAGGGUCAUGACGGUACCGGAAGAAUAAGCACCGGCUAACUACGUG